rnacentral:tRNA from 1 species
GGGUAUAUAGCUCGAACAGUAGAGCACAUGCUUAGCAUGCAUGAGGGCCUGGGUUCAAUCCCCAGUACCCCCU